GCAGACGGGUGAGGAACCCGUAUCUAACCUAACACGGGAUGGGGGAUAGUCCUGCGAAAGCGGGGGUAAUACCGCAUACGGUCGCGUGGGGCAACCUACGCGAGGAAAGCUGGCCUCUAGAUUAUGCUGGCGUCCGGUGAGGGGGAUGCGUCCUAUUAG
rnacentral:rRNA from 1 species